UACAGAGGGUGCGAGCGUUAAUCGGAAUUACUGGGCGUAAAGGGCGCGUAGGCGGUGAGUUAAGUUAGAUGUAAAAUCCCUGGGCUUAACCUAGGAAGGUCAUCUGAAACUGACGAGCUGGAGUGCGGUAGAGGGUAGUGGAAUUUCCGGUGUAGCGGUGAAAUGCGUAGAUAUCGGAAGGAACACCAGUGGCGAAGGCGGCUACCUGGACUGACACUGACGCUGAGGCGCGAGAGCGUGGGGAGCAAACAGG
rnacentral:rRNA from 1 species